AGAUAUAUAUACUAAUUGCGUGCCUGGCUCCCUGUAUGCCAUUUGUAGAGUUCAUCAAGAUGUUGAUGACUUUAAUGAAUGGCGUGCGAGGAGCCAUGCAUGUUGUGUAUAUUUUCUAU
rnacentral:pre_miRNA from 1 species